rnacentral:rRNA from 1 species
AUUGAACGCUGGCGGCAUGCUUUACACAUGCAAGUCGAACGGCAGCGCGGGCUUCGGCCUGGCGGCGAGUGACGAACGGGUGAGUAAUACAUCGGAACGUGCCCAGUAGUGGGGGAUAGCUCGGCGAAAGCCGGAUUAAUACCGCAUACGACCUGAGGGUGAAAGCGGGGGAUCUUCGGACCUCGCGCUAUUGGAGCGGCCGAUGGCAGAUUAGCUAGUUGGUGGGGUAAAGGCCUACCAAGGCGACGAUCUGUAGCUGGUCUGAGAGGACGACCAGCCACACUGGGACUGAGACACGGCCCAGACUCCUACGGGAGGCAGCAGUGGGGAAUUUUGGACAAUGGGCGAAAGCCUGAUCCAGCAAUGCCGCGUGUGUGAUGAAGGCCUUCGGGUUGUAAAGCACUUUUGGCGGGAACGAAAAGGACUGUGCCAAUACCACGGUUCGAUGACGGUACCCGCAGAAUAAGCACCGGCUAACUACGU